rnacentral:lncRNA from 1 species
UUAUUGCAAAGUGUUAUUAAUCCCAUUCCCACUGUCCUUCUGAUUCUUGUGUCACGCAGCUAUGAUUAACUGCAACGUAUAUGAACGCAUAUUCAAGCGUUUCGAUGAAGAUGGUGAUGGCAAACUCUCUCCUUCGGAGCUUCGACGCUGCGUGGGGACGAUAGGGGAGGAGCUGCUCAUGGAGGAGGCGCAGGAGGUGGUGGAGUCGAUGGACUCGGACGGAGAUGGGUUGCUGGGAUUGGAGGAAUUUGUGGGGUGGAUGGAGAGAGAGGGUGAAGAAAGAAAGAUGGAGGAGCUGAGAGAGGCUUUUGGGAUGUACGAGAUGGAAGGGAGUGGGUGUAUUACUGCAAAGAGCUUGAAGAGGAUGCUGAGCAGAUUGGGGGAGUCGAGAAGUGUGGAAGAGUGCUGUGUUAUGAUCAGGCAGUUUGAUGUAAAUUGCGAUGGGGUUCUUAGCUUUGAUGAAUUCAAGCUCAUGAUGCUAUGAUGCUUAUAAUUCUUGAGUCUGAAAGUGAAGAUGAUAUUCUUUAUAAGUUGAACAAGAGUAACUUGUAAACCAAGAUUCUUUCUAUAAAUAGAAUAUGAUACCCAUUUAUUUAUUUUUCAAAGUUAACGAGUCUGUAUGCUUGCUAGGGAGGCUCUCUAUGAAGGGUGAAUAUUGGAGAAGCUUGCCCCAUUCUGGAUUUUCUUAUUUGAAGGAACAUAUGAAUAGUUUGGGCUCUCUUUUCUUAUGAACCAACAUGCAAUAAUGAUAGUAAACAAUAUUAUAUCUGUGAUGAUAAAAGUUGGGGUGGAGAAAGAAACCGAUCAUCAAAUAAUCAAAUGUAAAGGACCCAACUUGACCCCUGGUCUCCCAAUAUGAGAAACCAGAUCCCGCCCCCAGGAGGAGCUGGAAAUCCCACUUUUUAACAUGAUAUCCGGUUGGUUUCCAAUGCCUUCACUCCAUUCCAAUUUUCAGUCAAUUUUGUAAUUUAUUGUUUAAUUACAUUAACUUAUGACCAUUAAUCCAUGCCAAUAUUUCUAUGCCUAAUAGCCUUCACAUCAUCUUCCUUUAAUAUGUAUGUAUAGGAGCUUCGGUUGUCACAACACUAAUAUCUUAAAGAAAUAAUUGGUAUAAAUAGAUGAAAUAUUCGUCAUAUUUAUAAAUUUAUCACUUUCCAUGUUUUUAUUUAAAAAAUAAUUUAUUUUUUACAUAAAUAUUUUUAACUAUUUCAAGUAUGUAUAAUAUAUUUUAUAAGAAAAUAAUAAUGUAUUUUUGUCAAAAUGAGAUAAAAAAAGAUGAAAAGUUAAUUAGGUUCCAAAAUUGGGUUUUUAAUAACUUUUUUAAUCCAAUAGCCCUAUCUUAAAAUUGGAGACCCGCUAACCUUUUAUAACCAUAUUGAGAAGUUGGGACAUGACUUAUAACGUAAACUUUCUCUAGAAGUUGUGCACAAACUUAUUUGCGGAAGUUAAAUUAUUUAAUGUAGGUUAUUACACCUCUAACCUUUUAUAACUGUCUCUAGAAGGUGAGAAAUGACUUGUAUUCUAAAGUAUUUCUAGAUGUUGACAAUGAAAUUAUAUAGUAAAGUUUUCUCAUGUCAUUACAUGAUGACUUGCAUAAUAAACUUUCUUUAGAAUAACUUGUAUGGUAAAGUUUCCUAUUAUCAUUCUGUGUCUGCUUCCAACAUUUUCUUCCUAUUGAUUCCUAAUUAAGUUUUUUGCAAUCUCUUAAGUUAGGGUGACUUCAUCAAUACUUUGAGUUAGGCUAACUUGUAAGAUGUUUUUCUAAAAUUGAUAAUAACAUUUGGGUUGUAUUUUUAAAUCAUAAAAUAAUUUUUCUUUUUCUUUUUAUUUUUUUUUUUAAAUUUUAAAUUGUUUUAAAAUGAGAAGGGUUUUAUCAUAACUUGUAUUAUAAAUUAUCAUAAGAGAAUUUGAAAAUUAUGAUUUUGAAACAAUUAUUAAUGAUUAUGGAUUGAACAAAAUUUUCUAACUCUCUGAACAUAUUGUUGAGAGGAAAAUAAACUUUAUAAGAAAUAAUAAGAAACAUAUUAAAUGAAAAUAAUCUAUUAAAAUAUUUUUAGUUCAAAGUGGUUAACAUGAAAUAUUAUCUUUUAAACUGCUACUAGUUAAGGGGAAAGCUCAAGUCAAGAUUUGAUGAGAGUGAAAGUUUGUAAUUCAUUGUUCAUAAUAUCAAAUCAAAGGCAUUAUUUCUUAGAAUUUGAUGCUAGUUCAUUUCCAUGUAUGGAUGAAAAUAUCGAUAAAUACAAAUAUAUUUUUAUGGAUAUAUUGGAAAUAUCCGUAAAAUGUUAGUGGAUAUUUUGAUAAAAAUAUCAAUAGGACAAAAAUUAUUAAAAAUUCGUAGAAAUGUAUAGAGAAAAACUUCAAAAAACAAUAAAAGAAGAAAGAAUACAUCGUAUUAACGUUAUUUUAUAAAUAUGAUUGACAUAAGUAUAAUAAAAUAUAAUAUUUUUCAUUUAAAAUAAAAAACUUAAAUUCUUUUAAUAUAUUUAUAUUAAUUUAUUUUAAAAAUUAAAACUAAUAUUAUUAAAACAUGUUUUAUUACCUUUAAUGAUAAUAAUUUUUAAAAAUAGGAUUAAGGAGAUAAAUAUGAAAAAUAAUAAAAUAAAAGGAUGAUAUAAAUUUAAAAUGAAAGAUAAAUUGAAAAAGAAAUUAAAAAAAAACAGGGAUAAAUUAAAAAAAAUGGGAUUUUUGAAAAAAUCGUCAAUAAAUCAGUGAUUUUUUUGCCCUCUCGCGACCCACGUGCUCGUGCUGUCAGGUGCAUUUUCGCCGAAAUAUCGGUGAAAUUUCCCGAUUUUUCAAAGACAAAAAGACUAUGAAUGGCGGCUUUUGAAUCUUUUGACCGUUGAAAACUGCAAUUCCACCUCAAAACCUGGCAACUUCUCUCCUUCUUCCUUUCCUUCCUUCACCAAAACCUGAAAAACACGCACUCCAUGACAAACCCAACACUCUCUUGUCUUUAUUCUCCCAGAGCCUCCUAGUAGAGUCUUCAUUGAUCUUCUUCACCCUCAAAGCCACCAUACCAAACAGCUCUAGUCCUUUCACGCGUCCCCACAAAACUACUUAUACACACAAAGUGCUAGCACAUCUUCACAUCUUCUCAUCUUCUCGUCUUAUUAUCAAGUGUUACCCAAUUCCACAUUUGCAGUACUAACAUUCUUGUGUUGCCCGGCCAUGAUUAAUUGCAAUGUGUAUGAACUCAUUUUCAAGCGUUUUGAUGAAGAUGGUGAUGGGAAACUCUCUCCUUGGGAGCUUCAACGCUGCGUGGGGUCGAUAGGGGAGGAGCUGCUAAUGGAGGAGGCCCGAGAAGUGGUGGAGUCAAUGGACUCAGACGGAGAUGGGUUGGUGGGGUUGGAGGAAUUUGUGGGGUGGAUGGAGAGAGAGGACGAAGAGAGAAAGAUGAAGGAGUUGAGAGAGGCCUUUGGGAUGUACGAGAUGGAUGGGAGUGGGUGUAUUACUCCCAAAAGCUUGAAGAGGAUGCUGAGCAGACUGGGGGAGUCAAGAAGUGUGGAGGAGUGCGGUGUUAUGCUAAGGCAAUUUGAUGUAAAUGGGGAUGGGGUUCUUAGCUUUGAUGAGUUCAAGCUCAUGAUGCUGUGAUGCUUCAUAAGUAAAAGUGAAUGCGUUAAGUCUUUUUAGGUAGAAAAAGAUUGAUUUGUAAACCAAGAUUCUUUCUAUAAAAAUAGAGGAAUAUAUUCAUUCAUUUAUUUAUUUAUUUUUGCAAAGUUAGUGAGUCUAACGAGCCAACAUCCCACAAUGAUAAUCAACAAUAUUAUCCUUUCCUUAUGAUAACAGUGAUGUUAAAAACUGGCCGAGACAGGAACCAUUCAUCAAACGGAUCAACGUACGACACAGGACCCAACUUGACUUGCUGGUCUCUCCAUGAGACACAAAAUUGAUCAGCCUCCUCAGGAGGAGCAGGGAAACCCACUUUUAACAUAUCAUCAGGUUUGGAUUCCUAGUAACUGGCUUAAGACUUUUCUAUAUGCCUUUACAUACACCACAUCCACAUGAGUUGCUCUCCAUAAGUGCCACACAACAUCUUACGCACCCUCUACCCUAGUAAACAUGGGCUUGUCCUAUUCACCCUCCUACGCACAGGCAACAUUGUCUUCGUGGUCUAUACGGUUCGUGUUCUAUAAGGUUUUAUGUGUAGUCAAACUCCGCACAUUUCUAACUGGGCCUUUGGUCUCAUAAAUCAUACCACUGAAAAGGAUACAAUAAUUUUUAAAAAUAUUUAGUAAAGUAUGACACUUUUAAAAUUAUUUCUAAAACUAUUUUAAUUCUUCAAUAAAAUGAAAAUGUAAAAAGAAUUAAUCGAUUAAAAUAUAUAAUUAAAAACUUAUAUAUGUUCAAAUUAUUAACUAUUUAUAUAAAUGUAAAAAAAGAAACGUCCCUUGGAUACAUUUUUAAUUUGAAAAAUAGAUAGUAGUAAUAUAUUCAGUUUUUUCUUUUUUUAAUAAAAGGGUCUAAAUGAUUAUCAUAUUUGUGGAAAUAACUUGAUAUUUUCAGAACUUGAAAAAUAACCCAUCUUGAACAAAAAUACCUCUUUUACUUUUGUUUCUAUCAUAGCACGAUUUUUCUUUUUAUUUUCAUCUCAUUUUUUUCCCUUUUUGAUUAUGUAUUUUUUCUUCAUUUAUUCUUCUAUGAUGAAGAAAGUUGACUUAUGACUAUUCUUUUCUCUAUUCUUCAUUAAUGGCCUUGGAAAGAAAUUUAAAGACGCCAACAACUUAUUUUAUUUUUCAUAUUUCCUUAAUAUUUUUUGCCUUUUUAUUUUAAAAAUUAUUAUAGUAAGCAAAUCUUCUUAUAUAUCCACCAAUUAAGAAUAUCUUCCAACACUAUAAUCUAACAUAAAUGAUCUUUUUUAAUCCAAUAUGAAAUGCACCCUCCCUCAAUUGAUUCAGAAAGAAAACAUAUAGAAACAAUAUUUAGAAAAAAGAAAAAGAAAAAACGAGAAUGUAAAUCUUAUCAAAGUGGAGCUUAGAUUUGACUAUAUAAAAAUGAAAUUACUCAAAUUAUAGUGGAUUUGUGUUUAGGGUUAGAGUUCUAAGACAAAGUAAGACGUUAAUUGGUGAUUAUGAGGAGACAAAGAAGUGUUAAAUGAUGAAUGCAAAGUUUCAAAACAAAGUGAUGUUUGUGGGGAGUAGAUGAAGAACAAAUGGCAGAUUUGAGAGAGAGACAGAGCAAUAACUUUUGUUCUCUCCACCUCUAAUCUUUGUUCUUAAAUUUCAAGGGUUUGAAUCUUAUUUAUUUGAGGGUAUUUUUGUGUAAGGUGGACAUCUUUCAUGGUUCAGAAGAAGGUUAGUUUUGUGUGACGAUUUUUUUUUUAUUUUUCCUCGCGUGCAUAUUUUCUUCACAUUUUCUCAGGAAAGAAACAUGGCCUAGGAUGUUGCUGAUACCAAAAUCAUAUUUGACUGUGCCUGCCAAUGAGGCUAGCAUGCUUGAUUAUGAAGCUACUGAGAAGUAGUAUCUCAUUGCGAUUCUUGCCGGAAACUCCCAAUCCCAAUAGGCUAAAAAGAAAUUUUCUAUUAAUAUUAAUGAUGAACUGUAGGUCAUUAAUUAUCAUUAUUUUCCUACAUUGAUUUUUUUUUAUUGGAUUUUUGUUUUUUCUAAUGGUCUCCAACGGGCUGGGCCGGACCCUUAAUAUAUCUAAGGCCCGUGGGCCCUCAAGCUGGGCGGGCUUAGCGGGCCGGACUUGCAGGCCUGGCGGGCGGGCCGGGGUAAAAAUUAAAAUAAUUUUUAAUUUUGAAGGGAAGGGGUCCCCUUCCCUUAUAGAACCAUAAGGGAGCUAGCCACCAAUUGAACUGAUCCUCUUUUGUGUAACCAUUUUGCAUUAAUUAUAUAUAUAUUAGAAAUGUUGUAUGAUUUUUGAAAAAAAAUAAAAGUGAGUUGGCUAUUCAACGGUUACAUGACUAUUGAAUAUGCCACUCAUAAUUCAAUUUCAAAUAUAUGACCGUUGAACGGUCUUGAAAUUAAAAAAAAAAAAAAAUUAAAUCCUAAUAUUUAAAUCCCUAUAAAUAUUAAAUAUCCUCAAUUUUUUUUCUAUUCUCUCAACUCUUAAGCUCUCUCCCAUUCUACAAUAUUUCUGAUUAUUGCAUUUUGUCUAAAAUUAUUCAAUAUUAUUGGCGGUGAAAAACAAGCAUUGGUGGUUUAAAGAGUUCAAAUUUGAAAGAAUUUCUGCUUUAGUUUUCCAAUUUAGUAACAUACUUCACUUUUUCUUUUAUUUAUUUGUUACAUUUUAAUUUUACAUUUAUUAUUUUUAGCAUAAUAUUUUAUCAAUAAUUAUAAUUAUGGCAAGUGGUUCUUGUUCUUCAUCUAAUGCAUGUGAUAACAAAAAAUUUACUUCAAAUAUAUGGAAUUUUUUUGAUAGAAUAAAAAUAAAUUUAGAAAAUAAUAAAAAAGAAAUAAAAGCAAAAUAUAAAAUUUGUAACAAACUUUUUAGUGGUGGCUCAAAUACAGGUACAAGUCAUUUAAAAAGAUAUCAUGAAAGUUGUAAAACUAAAAGUAAUGUAGAUAUUAAAAAUUAUAUGCAAUUAGGUAAAGAUGAAAGUGGAAAUUUAAAAACAUUUUCUUAUGAUGAAUUUUAUUGUCGUGAAGAAAUGAUUAGUUAUAUAAUAAGAGCAGAACAACCUUUCAAUUUCACUAGUUCGCCAUCACCGCCAAGAGAUAAUGAUUAAAAUAUUUUACUAAAUGUAUGUCAUAUUUUUAUUUUUAUUUUUAUGGUUGAAAAGUUCAAAUGAUUGACAAAUAAGUAGGUGUCAACCUAGUUGAGAUGUAUUUAUUUUGUAGUAAUGUAAACUUUUCCCACAUUUUCAAACGUAAUGUAUACAUUCAAUGAAAAAAUAGUUAAUAAUGAAUAUUUUUAUUAAUGUAACAUUUUCUAUUUCUUGAAUAUAUAUUUUUAAUAUAUAUAUAUAUUUUAAAGUUGCGGGCCUACGGGCCGGGCCUAAUUUGGGGCCCAUGGCCUGGCCCAUCCAGAAAUGGGCUCGAGCCGGGCCGGGCCGCGGGUCGCGGGCUUUUUGGAGACCCUUAGUUUUUUCAAGAUGGAUAUUACCUGAUUUGAGUAGAUAUAAUUUUGUAUACAGAAAGGAAUGUAAUAAUAGAAAUUUUGAAUAACGUCUCUGAGAUAUAAUUCGUAAUUUAUUCCACACUCAAACAUAUUCCAAAUUCAGAAGAAAGAAUAUUUUCCACACUUUCCCCCUGUCAUUUCCGCUUCAUGUCCUGUACAAAGAGUAAGAAAAGAGGAGCCAAAAAAAAAGGCAAAAUGAACUACAGUAUUUUUGACCGUGAUGGAUUAAUUUAAUGCAUUUCCAUCUCAGAACCUCGCAACUUCUGACUUUCUUCCUCCAUAAACCUGUCAAGCACUCCAUCACACCAAACACGCCAUUCUUCUCAUACUCAAGAGCUCCAGCCCAUUUACGCGUCCCCACAUGGCCUGCAUAUAUACUCACUCACAAAUUGUUGUUCAGAUGUUCUCAUCUUAUUGCAAAGUGCUAUUAAUCCCAUUCCCACUGUCCUUCUGAUUCUUGUGUCACGCAGCUAUGAUUAACUGCAACGUAUAUGAACGCAUAUUCAAGCGUUUUGAUGAAGAUGGUGAUGGGAAACUCUCUCCUUCGGAGCUUCGACGCUGCGUGGGGACGAUAGGGGAGGAGCUGCUCAUGGAGUAGGCGCAGGAGGUGGUGGAGUCGAUGGACUCGGACGGAGAUGGGUUGCUGGGAUUGGAGGAAUUUGUGGGGUGGAUGGAGAGGGAGGGUGAAGAGAGAAAGAUGGAGGAGCUGAGAGAGGCUUUUGGGAUGUACGAGAUGGAAGGGAGUGGGUGUAUUACUGCAAAGAGCUUGAAGAGGAUGCUGAGCAGAUUGGGG